rnacentral:tRNA from 1 species
GGGGGUGUAGCUCAGUGGUAGAGUGCUUGCCUAGCCGAGGCCCUGGGUUAGGGUCCCAACACCACCA